rnacentral:rRNA from 1 species
CCAGAGAUGGUUUCCUUCAGUUAGGCUGGAUCGGUGACAGGUGCUGCAUGGCUGUCGUCAGCUCGUGUCGUGAGAUGUUGGGUUAAGUCCCGCAACGAACGCAACCCUUGCCCUUAGUUGCAAUUUUUUUGAAAAGGCACUCUAAGGGGGCUGCCGGUGAUAAGCCGAGAGGAAGGUGGGGAUGACGUCAAGUCCUCAUGGCCCUUACGGGCUGGGCUACACACGUGCUACAAUGGUGGUGACAGUGGGCAGCGAGACCGCGAGGUCGAGCUAAUCUCCAAAAGCCAUCUCAGUUCGGAUUGCACUCUGCAACUCGAGUGCAUGAAGUUGGAAUCGCUAGUAAUCGCAGAUCAGCAUGCUGCGAGAAAAUACGUUCCCGGGCCUUGUACACACCGCCCGUCACACCAUGGGAGUUGGUUUUACCCGAAGGCUCUCCUCCUUCCCUCAAGGGAAGCAGGCGACCACGGUAGGGUC